rnacentral:lncRNA from 1 species
CAUUGACAGAGAUUCGGAAUUCUGAGCUCCCUCCCUGUUCUGCAUCCUUCUUGCGGGCUACUAGGGCGGGGUCAACUGUCUGGGCUUCCCUUAUUCUCUGGAUUAACUCGGGCUGGACUGUCAAGUGGUCCAAACAUGUGACUCUCUUUAGAUCCUGAAGUCGAACCUGUUGCGUGGCCCCAAUUGGUCUGCAUUCUGAAACCAUCAAAUGGGCUAAGACCCCUGCAUUUUUCCUGCUAAGAGCAUCUGCUACCACGUUGCCCUUACCCGGAUGGUAUAAGAUAUCAUAAUCAUAGUCCUUAA